rnacentral:lncRNA from 1 species
UCCAUCUGCCACAGUGGGAGCAGAUUGCUACACCUGAUCUGGAGAACACCUUCUCAAAGUCUCUACCAGACCUGGGAGAGCCUCUGUUGCCCCAUUUUUUGCAUUUACUGGGGGGGGGGGGGGGGGGGGGGGGGGGGGAAGGAGAGGGGUGUGUGUGGAAUUGGUGCAAUUAGGACUGAAGUGCAGCCCCCGCUUAGAACUAGCAGUUACUAACUUGUGCUGAGGUAUUACAGAGAACACCCAAGGACCGAAGCCACUUGUGCUUGCUCGUGUGCUGUUAUUCACUGAUGUAGUGCUUGCUUCCCCCUCUGCCUGACGUGCUGAUGAUGAGGGUCAUGAAAGAAUCAGCUGACUAAGAUCUGGCAAGGACUAUGGAUCGAGGAAUUUGAAGUCCUAAUUCAUUGCUCAGACCUGAAUUAUCUUCACCCACAUCCUAAGUUAUUAUAUCAAGAAGUAAGACCAAGUAUGGGUACCUGAGGUGCAGAAAACCAAGCAGAUUCUGUUUCACGUGCAGGCAGAGAGAACAGCACGGCAUUGUAUUGCAGUGUGGUUCAAUUCAGUAAGUGAUGGGUGUGGGAAAAUACUGAAGGAUAAAUAUUUGUGUUUUCAUGAACUAUGUGCACACAAUAUUAGUUAUUUAAAAAAUGCUUUAUAUUCUUUGCAUGAUACACAAGAUUUGAUUUUUCAGAGGGACUGGAUUUCAUAGCACUAGGUCAAUGAGAGUGUGGGUGUUCAGCAUCUCUGAAUGCCAAGCUAUAAUUGUACUUGAUAAGCCAGUGUAAGGGACCUAGAUGUUUAAAAAUCUUGUGUCCAGCAGAGGAGUGCCAGAUCCUGCCUUGUAAGGUGAAACAAAACAUAUCUCAUAACUAUACAACAGUGGUUAUUUUCUUGGUAGAAAUGUAUAUUUAUUUUAAUCCAGACGCCAUGUAAGCCAACUGGCCAGUAAUGCA